rnacentral:lncRNA from 1 species
UUUUCUUCCCCAGUCGAGUUAAAUGCGCAUUUCCUUAGUGAAAUCGUUUUCCCUGCACGAGUCGAGUAUCUUCAGUUUUAUCCUGAAUUGUUCGUUUCCCCUGCAUAUGUUGUUAUUUUCCCGGCUGAAUCUUUCCAUUUUGUGUGGAAUCCCUCGAGUCCACCCAGUAGUUUUGAGUCGUAGCCUGGCCUACGCAUAACUCCUUUUUUUCCCUAGAGUCUAUGUCUCCCCAUCGAGUUUUACUCAUGGAAUGCAUUAUGCUCCUGCGGACUUUCG